GGAAGUAAAAGUCGUAAAAAGGUUUCCGUAGGUGAACCUGCGGAAGGAUCAUUAUUGUAUAACCGAGGUGCGAGGGCUGUCGCUGACCCGAAAGGUCGUGCACGCCCGAGUGCCCUCACACACAUCCAUCUCACCCCUAUGUGCACCACCGCGUGGGUCCCCCUUUGGCUUGUUCGGAGGGGGGCUUACGUUUUCACACAAACUUUGUAUGCAGUGUAGAAUGUAUUUUUUGUCUUUGCGAUCACGCAAUCAAUACAGCUUUCAACAACGGAUCUCUUGGCUCUC
rnacentral:misc_RNA from 1 species